UUUCGGUGGGCACGCGGGUAGCUACAGUCGUGCCCCAGGGUUUCUAAAUAAAACUUAUUUACACACCAGUUUCCUUUUAUUUUUGAACACCGUGUAUCUAUACCACAGAAUAUAGAAUUAUUAUUUAGUUGGUAUCCCUGGUGUUGUCGAUACGGUAGUAUUCUGCUAUGCCGUUGCCUCGGGUUGCGGUAAAAGGCAAUGGCGGCGAUCUCAGGUGUCGAGAUGUCGGAGCGGAUCGCCUCGGCUCAGCGGUACUCUAAUUUGGCGGUAGCUGUAAGUUUAUCGAUUAGCGGGUUUUUAUCCGGGAGUUGGUGAAUGACACCAGCACUUCCGAAUACUCGGCCCGUCAGUGCGGUAUGGUACUUAU